UGGUUAUUAAAUAGGUACAUAGUUCAAUAGUAAUAUCCUCUAAAACGCUCUGGUGACAAACAAACUUUGCUGCCCUGUUUCCAAUUGUCCACAUGGCUGGGAGAACCUAUUCAAGAUGUUUCAAGAAUGGGGUCCAACAACGCAGCAAGAGGCAAUCGUUGUGCAGGAGAUCUUCACCUCCUACUUCUUCGAAGAGGGUGCUGUUCCCUGGCAACACCAUAGACUACACUACGCACAACCAAAGGCUCUUUUUAAGAGUCAUUCACAUUGGAAUAAGAGUAUUCUUCCAUUUACGUAGCUGUCAACUGCAGUUAUUCAAUUCCCAGUUUCUACUUCACAGGUGAGGGUGCCGUUUAGGUAAGGGUGUGAUGUCUGUACAAAAAAUUAACAGGCUAUUUUAAAUCACCCAUAUUGAAAAAAAUGUGAACAAUUAGAAACCCUAUAACCCACACACUCAUGUAUCAAUCUGAUUGAUGCAUUGUGUUGUGCAGUAAGCAGGUUCAGGUGUAACUGUGGCUCCUUCCACCUUCAAAGAAUAGGCAAGAGGGCCAACCAUGGAGAAUAGUAAGACACUUCAUUAUUUUUUAUAACUACACUAUAUUGUUUGUCCUUGUGUUUCCGUUCAUGUUUUUCAGCAUAAAGUACUCUGCAGCCACUUAGUGUGGUGUGGACACAAGGUGAGGCCACACACAGAUUGAACACUGUCUCUUUAACUACCUUAUCUUCUCAAUAAUUCUCUCUCCUUCACUUCAUCCCUCUCCCCUCUUCUCCCUAAAUCCUCUAGGGUUAUAUCAGCAGUGUCAGUGAAACCCUGAGGCAUUAAGACUGGCUACAUAGAGAGAGGGCACAGCAUGAUCAGAGUCUCUCAUCUGCUGGUAUGUUUUGAUGUGAGAGAGGAUGCCAACCCCCAGUCCCAUCAUCACCACCUCACCCACUGUUAAGAUAACCUUCAGGCUGACUAGAGACACUAUUAUGUAAUUGUGAUGAACUGAGAAAAUAUUUGAGUUGCACUGGUUCAUUAGUCAUAUGCUGCCUUCCCUGCUCCUAAGUUCAUACCUCUUUCCCUUUGUCUUUGACACCUCUCUAGCCACAUUUCUUCCUGUUUUUAUAAUGCACAACAGAUGUGCAUUGAAGUACAGAUUAUAUUUGUAAUGCAUGUAUUUAUAACCCUUGGAUAAUGAACUUCCAGUAAAGCGUUUCACAUUCUCUACU